GGAUUAGAAAGGGUAGUUGAGCAAGAUUCCCAGCUCUCUGCUCCUCACAUCCACUGAAAGAUGUCUGGGGGUGAGAUGCACAAGGACUCAUUCAUGUGAGCAACUCUCCUGGUGUGGCUAUUGAUUAAAGGGGAAGAGGAAACAGAGGCACAGCAAUGCACAGAGAAGGCUCUGUGCUUGUUUAUGAAAAGAAUGAUACUCUACUGAAAUGAAGAAGGUGGGGGAGAGACAAGGCAGUCUGAUAAAGAAGAGAAAGAGAGGGCAGGCAGGGAGCUGAGACACUGGGAAAGAGAGAAUGGAGACAGAAGGAAGAGAAAGAAGACAUACACGGCAGCUUGGCCAAGCCGGAGCUCGGGCGCAGUAUCGCGCCAGUGAUGUCACCGGAACCCUGUACGGCACGGCGGCAGCAAGGACACGGAGUGGUAACUGAAGAUGGCUUUGACAAAAGAGGAGAGAAUUUAUGUCAUUUUGAUGUCUGGAGAACAAUGUUUCCAUGUCAUAGCUGCAGAUUUUAACAACUGCCACCCAGAAAGACCUCCAAUUUCACAUAACACUAUCAGGUGCCUAAUUUCCAAAUUCCGAGAAACUGGGACUGUGGCUGACAAGUCACGGAGUGGUCAUCCAAAAAGUGCUACUGACGAGACAACCUCAAGAAUGGUUUUGGCAUCCUUCAUGAAGAGGCCACAAUGCAGCACAACACCCACACAUUAAAUUACUGUCAUUUGUGGAGAACAGUUCAGCCUGUAAUUCCAACAUAAAAGUGUUGUAACUUUUGAACCAUAACUGCUACUUCAAAUCUAUUUGCAGCAAUAAACUUUUCAGCAAAUUUGACUUGUUACACGACCCCCUCUCCAUUUGAAAAAAUUGACUUAGAUUCAAGAUGGCCAAUUUCAAGAUGGCACCCAUGUUCAGUACAUACCCUGAAAGAUAGCCCACCUCACCCAUACCCAGGCGUGGAUUGGGAACAAAAAGCGGCCCUGGAAAAAUUUGUACUAGUGGCCCCACAUGGGCAGCACCAGAGGUGUAAGGUCUAGCCAUGGGCCAUGGCAGCAGCACCCUCCCCCCCAAGACUUUCCAGAUAGUGGGCAUGUCCAGCACCAUGGGGGGAGUUAAAAAUAAAUAAAAAUUAAAUAUUAUGAGCACAUUAUAUGAUACACCUUCAGAAUUUAGGAAACUAUAUCAUUCUUUAGAAAGAUAUUUUUUCUUGCAUAUUACACCAAACGUAUUUCAAUCACUAUUCACUCAAUCUUAUAUGUCAGCCAAGCAGGCAGACAGAGCAUACACUAGAUCAUCUGCAAUCACAGGCUAAGUGGCAAAGUAAUUUUCAUAUAUGCAAAUUAUUUGCAUCUUAUUCAUUAUGUCUAUAAAAAGGACCACAUGUCGUCAAACAAAACAGGCCCCACUGGUGCGUCGGCCCACCGGGAACCUUCCCUGUAAACCCUAUGGCCAGUCCGCCUCUGCCCAUACCUUACUGGAGUAUUUAGUUUUCUCAUUUCCUGCACUUUUUUUUUUUUUAAAGUGUGUACUGCGACUUUUGAAUCAACCUGUAUAUAUAUAUUUCCCCCUUCUUGUCCUAUUAAAAACACCAUAUUAUUUUCAUAACAAACGCCAACCACUUUUCUAAAGAUAUAAAAUAAAACACUGAUAUAAUAAUCAAAUGAAGUUAAAAACACAAAUUAUGUAUAGUCAGUAUACAACCUGACAUGUAAUGGGUAACUAGUACUAUCUUCAGUAUGUUUAUUUAAGUUGUACUUUGCAUUGAUUCUAAAACACCUGAAAGCAUGAUAUUGAUAAUAGUGAAACUUGUUUUUUUUAUCACUCUUGACAGACAGACAGACAGACAGAUAGAUAGAUAGAUAGAUAGAUAGAUAGAUAGAUAGAUAGAUAGAUAGAUAGAUAGAUAGAUAGAUAGAGAUAUAUAGACCACUGCAAGGAAAUUGGUUUGGUCCCAAAUCCUCUAUAUACCACAUUCAUGCGCUUAACUUGAGAGUUUGUUGUUCAGUUACAAUACCCUUUAUUUAAUAACACAAUUCAAUAUACUGCCAUACCCAGGAUUCAAACCUAUAACCUGCUGAAUUCUAAUCAAACACCCUUCUCAGAAGAAAUCUCAAGUUGAGUUCAUGAAUGUUGUAUAGGUAUUAGCGACAGAAGGGGUCAGGGUAGUAGACAGGUGCAGUCAGGAGAUGUUGGGCUUCAAAAAGGGGGCGAGCUGCAAGUGAAAGUAAUUAAAACAGAUAAUUGACAAGUGCCACCAACAGCGCCCCCUACCUUUUUCAGCACUAUGUGCAGUGCCCCCUCCACAUACACCUAGUUACUGCCCAUUGGUUUGUUUAUAAUCAGACUGCUCUAAAUUAUUGAUAAAUAUGUAGAAAUGUAUAAGUGUACUGUAUUUGUCAUGGCAAUUAUUCCUCAUGGAACAUAAUGCUGUGAACAGAUAUACUUUGGAAUGUGCCUAUUUUCAAAUUAUCCCCCCUCCUUAUUUCCCUUCUACAUUCAUAAGGUAUGCUGAAAGUCUGAUAGCCUUUGAUUGUGUCUGUCAACCAUACUAGUUUAUUCUCCAGAGAGAUUUAAAAAAAAGAGAUAAUUAUUUGUAGGAUUAUAGCAUGUUUAAAGGUACUAAACUUUCUAUUUAAAUAAUAAAAAUACACAUAAUUGGUAUUGCUGAUGUAA